rnacentral:misc_RNA from 1 species
UAAAAGCAGAUCUUUUUAUUAUUUAAUUUUGCUCUCUAUCGACACAGUGAAAGAGGAAGAGACGCAACCUUCUUCCUCCCUGGUUUAAGUCCAUUAGUGGUUUGCUGGCACUGUUCAAUGUUUUAACAUGCGUAGUGUACUUAAACAAGUAACCCUUUUCUAAGUCAAAUUGUUUGGCAUUCAGCAUGUUGGGUUUUGCUUCAAAAGUGAUUAAUGGUUCCUUAAGGUUGAAGAAUGAUCUUUCAAAGUGGAGUCAAGCUUAUUCAGAAUGCUCAGAUGAUGAAUUAUCAUUAAACAACGGCAGAGAAGAGGGACUGGAAUGCCCUAUAUGCUGGGAAUCUUUUAACAUUGUUGAAAAUGUGCCGUAUGUUUUGUGGUGUGGCCACACCCUCUG